UAGCGCAAUGCAAGCAUCUGC
rnacentral:misc_RNA from 1 species